rnacentral:tRNA from 1 species
GCGCGUGUGGCGAAAUUGGCAGACGCACUAGACUUAGGAUCUAGCGCCUUACGGCAUGGGGGUUCAAGUCCCUUCACGCGCACCA